UUGACCUCGGAUCAGGUAGGAUACCCGCUGAACUUAAGCAUAUCAAUAAGCGGAGNAAAAGAAACCAACAGGGAUUGCCUCAGUAACGGCGAGUGAAGCGGCAACAGCUCAAAUUUGAAAUCUGGCCCCAGGCCCGAGUUGUAAUUUGCAGAGGAUGCUUUGGGCGCGGUGCCUUCCGAGUCCCCUGGAACGGGACGCCAUAGAGGGUGAGAGCCCCGUCUGGUCGGACACCAAGCCUCUGUAAAGCUCCUUCGACGAGUCGAGUAGUUUGGGAAUGCUGCUCUAAAUGGGAGGUAUAUGUCUUCUAAAGCUAAAUACCGGCCAGAGACCGAUAGCGCACAAGUAGAGUGAUCGAAAGAUGAAAAGCACUUUGGAAAGAGAGUUAAACAGCACGUGAAAUUGUUGAAAGGGAAGCGUUCAUGACCAGACUUGGACCGGUCAAUCAUCCAGCGUUCUCGCUGGUGCACUUUUCCCGGUCCAGGCCAGCAUCAGUUCGCGGCGGGGGAUAAAGGCGUCGGGAAUGUGGCUCCCUCGGGAGUGUUAUAGCCCUUCGCGCAAUACCCUGCCCUGGACUGAGGUUCGCGCUCUGCAAGGAUGCUGGCGUAAUGGUCAUCAACGACCCGUCUUGAAACACGGACCAAGGAGUCGAUCUCGUAUGCGAGUGUUCGGGUGUCAAACCCCUACGCGUAAUGAAAGUGAACGCAGGUGAGAGCUUCGGCGCAUCAUCGACCGAUCCUGAUGUUCUCGGAUGGAUUUGAGUAAGAGCAUACGGGGCCGGACCCGAAAGAAGGUGAACUAUGCCUGUAUAGGGUGAAGCCAGAGGAAACUCUGGUGGAGGCUCGCAGCGGUUCUGACGUGCAAAUCGAUCGUCAAAUAUGGGCAUGGGGGCGAAAGACUAAUCGAACCUUCUAGUAGCUGGUUUCCGCCGAAGUUUCCCUCAGGAUAGCAGUGUUGAGCUCAGUUUUAUGAGGUAAAGCGAAUGAUUAGGGACUCGGGGGCGCUAUUUAGCCUUCAUCCAUUCUCAAACUUUAAAUAUGUAAGAAGCCCUUGUUGCUUAAUUGAACGUGGGCAUUCGAAUGUAUCAACACUAGUGGGCCAUUUUUGGUAAGCAGAACUGGCGAUGCGGGAUGAACCGAACGCGAGGUUAAGGUGCCAGAGUAGACGCUCAUCAGACACCA
rnacentral:rRNA from 1 species